rnacentral:misc_RNA from 1 species
GAAAUGCGAUAACUAAUGUGAAUUGCAGAAUUCAGUGAAUCAUCGAGUCUUUGAACGCACAUUGCGCCCCCUGGUAUUCCGGGGGCAUGCCUGUCCGAGCGUCAUUGCUGCCCUCAAGCCCGGCUUGUGUGUUGGGUCGCCGUCCCCCUCUCCGGGGGGACGGGCCCGAAAGGCAGCGGCGGCACCGCGUCCGAUCCUCGAGCGUAUGGGGCUUUGUCACAUGCUCUGUAGGAUUGGCCGGCGCCUGCCGACGUUUUCCAACCAUUCUUUCCAGGUUGACCUCGGAUCAGGUAGGGAUACCCGCUGAACUUAAGC